AUCUUGGAGCACGGCAACUUCUGCCUCCCAGGUUCAAGUGAUUCUCCAGCCACCCGAGUAGUUGGGAUUACAGGUUCCGAGCCUCACUCUAUCCCUGUCCUGAGACACCACAGGAGAGGAAGGAAAUGGCUUCUGGAGUGAAUACCAGGAUUGAUGAUCUCCAAAUGGUUCUGAAUCAAACGGAGGAUCACCGCCAGAGGGUUCUGCAGGCAGCUGCUAAGAACAUCCGUGUCUGGUUCAUCAAAGUACGGAAGAUGAAGGCCAUCUAUCACACCCUGAACCUGUGCAACAUAGACGUGACUCAGAAAUGCUUGAUUGCAGAGGUCUGGUGCCCUGUCACCGACCUUGACUCCAUCCAGUUUGCACUCAGAAGGGGCACGGAACACAGUGGUUCCACUGUACCUUCCAUUUUGAACAGGAUGCAGACAAACCAGACUCCCCCAACCUAUAACAAAACCAACAAGUUUACCUAUGGCUUUCAGAACAUAGUAGAUGCUUAUGG
rnacentral:sRNA from 1 species